UACUGGCAGGAUCAACCAGGCAAUAGUGAAGAACAAGUAUCCUCUUCCUCGGAUUGACGAGCUCUUCAACCGACUCAGGGUGCACAGUAUUUCUCGAAGGUUGACCUGAGAUCGGGAUAUCAUCAGCUUCGAGUCAGAGAGCAAGAUGUGUAGAAGAUGGCGUUUCAUACUCGUUACGGGCACUAUGAGUUCCUUGUGAUGCCAUUCGAGUUGACGAAUGCGCCAGCAGUGUUCAUGGCUUUGAUGAACAAGAUCUUCGCUCCAUACCUCGACAGCUUCAUCGUAGUGUUCAUCGAUGAUGUGUUGGUCUAUUCCAAGUCCAGAGAGAAGCACGAGCAGCAUUUGAGGACGUCUCUACAGUUGUUGAGCGACAACCGGUUGUACGCGAAGCUCAGCA
rnacentral:misc_RNA from 1 species